AUCGUUCAUCCUUUAGCUCUGAAAGCUUUGAGCAUUAAAGGACGGAAGUAGGGACAUUUUCCUGAAGGAACGCGCC
rnacentral:ncRNA from 2 species